rnacentral:rRNA from 1 species
GGGUUGUGAGGUUAAGCGACUAAGCGUACACGGUGGAUGCCCUGGCAGUCAGAGGCGAUGAAGGACGUGCUAAUCUGCGAUAAGCGUCGGUAAGGUGAUAUGAACCGUUAUAACCGGCGAUUUCCGAAUGGGGAAACCCAGUGUGAUUCGUCACACUAUCAUUAACUGAAUCCAUAGGUUAAUGAGGCGAACCGGGGGAACUGAAACAUCUAAGUACCCCGAGGAAAAGAAAUCAACCGAGAUUCCCCCAGUAGCGGCGAGCGAACGGGGAGCAGCCCAGAGCCUGAAUCAGUGUGUGUGUUAGUGGAAGCGUCUGGAAAGGCGCGCGAUACAGGGUGACAGCCCCGUACACAAAAAUGCACAUGCUGUGAGCUCGAUGAGUAGGGCGGGACACGUGGUAUCCUGUCUGAAUAUGGGGGGACCAUCCUCCAAGGCUAAAUACUCCUGACUGACCGAUAGUGAACCAGUACCGUGAGGGAAAGGCGAAAAGAACCCCGGCGAGGGGAGUGAAAAAGAACCUGAAACCGUGUACGUACAAGCAGUGGGAGCACAGAGCAAUCUGUGUGACUGCGUACCUUUUGUAUAAUGGGUCAGCGACUUAUAUUCUGUAGCAAGGUUAACCGAAUAGGGGAGCCGAAGGGAAACCGAGUCUUAACUGGGCGUUAAGUUGCAGGGUAUAGACCCGAAACCCGGUGAUCUAGCCAUGGGCAGGUUGAAGGUUGGGUAACACUAACUGGAGGACCGAACCGACUAAUGUUGAAAAAUUAGCGGAUGACUUGUGGCUGGGGGUGAAAGGCCAAUCAAACCGGGAGAUAGCUGGUUCUCCCCGAAAGCUAUUUAGGUAGCGCCUCGUGAAUUCAUCUCCGGGGGUAGAGCACUGUUUCGGCAAGGGGGUCAUCCCGACUUACCAACCCGAUGCAAACUGCGAAUACCGGAGAAUGUUAUCACGGGAGACACACGGCGGGUGCUAACGUCCGUCGUGAAGAGGGAAACAACCCAGACCGCCAGCUAAGGUCCCAAAGUCAUGGUUAAGUGGGAAACGAUGUGGGAAGGCCCAGACAGCCAGGAUGUUGGCUUAGAAGCAGCCAUCAUUUAAAGAAAGCGUAAUAGCUCACUGGUCGAGUCGGCCUGCGCGGAAGAUGUAACGGGGCUAAACCAUGCACCGAAGCUGCGGCAGCGACGCUUAUGCGUUGUUGGGUAGGGGAGCGUUCUGUAAGCCUGUGAAGGUGUACUGUGAGGUAUGCUGGAGGUAUCAGAAGUGCGAAUGCUGACAUAAGUAACGAUAAAGCGGGUGAAAAGCCCGCUCGCCGGAAGACCAAGGGUUCCUGUCCAACGUUAAUCGGGGCAGGGUGAGUCGACCCCUAAGGCGAGGCCGAAAGGCGUAGUCGAUGGGAAACAGGUUAAUAUUCCUGUACUUGGUGUUACUGCGAAGGGGGGACGGAGAAGGCUAUGUUGGCCGGGCGACGGUUGUCCCGGUUUAAGCGUGUAGGCUGGUUUUCCAGGCAAAUCCGGAAAAUCAAGGCUGAGGCGUGAUGACGAGGCACUACGGUGCUGAAGCAACAAAUGCCCUGCUUCCAGGAAAAGCCUCUAAGCAUCAGGUAACAUCAAAUCGUACCCCAAACCGACACAGGUGGUCAGGUAGAGAAUACCAAGGCGCUUGAGAGAACUCGGGUGAAGGAACUAGGCAAAAUGGUGCCGUAACUUCGGGAGAAGGCACGCUGAUAUGUAGGUGAAGUCCCUCGCGGAUGGAGCUGAAAUCAGUCGAAGAUACCAGCUGGCUGCAACUGUUUAUUAAAAACACAGCACUGUGCAAACACGAAAGUGGACGUAUACGGUGUGACGCCUGCCCGGUGCCGGAAGGUUAAUUGAUGGGGUUAGCGCAAGCGAAGCUCUUGAUCGAAGCCCCGGUAAACGGCGGCCGUAACUAUAACGGUCCUAAGGUAGCGAAAUUCCUUGUCGGGUAAGUUCCGACCUGCACGAAUGGCGUAAUGAUGGCCAGGCUGUCUCCACCCGAGACUCAGUGAAAUUGAACUCGCUGUGAAGAUGCAGUGUACCCGCGGCAAGACGGAAAGACCCCGUGAACCUUUACUAUAGCUUGACACUGAACAUUGAGCCUUGAUGUGUAGGAUAGGUGGGAGGCUUUGAAGUGUGGACGCCAGUCUGCAUGGAGCCGACCUUGAAAUACCACCCUUUAAUGUUUGAUGUUCUAACGUGGACCCGUAAUCCGGGUUGCGGACAGUGUCUGGUGGGUAGUUUGACUGGGGCGGUCUCCUCCUAAAGAGUAACGGAGGAGCACGAAGGUUGGCUAAUCCUGGUCGGACAUCAGGAGGUUAGUGCAAUGGCAUAAGCCAGCUUGACUGCGAGCGUGACGGCGCGAGCAGGUGCGAAAGCAGGUCAUAGUGAUCCGGUGGUUCUGAAUGGAAGGGCCAUCGCUCAACGGAUAAAAGGUACUCCGGGGAUAACAGGCUGAUACCGCCCAAGAGUUCAUAUCGACGGCGGUGUUUGGCACCUCGAUGUCGGCUCAUCACAUCCUGGGGCUGAAGUAGGUCCCAAGGGUAUGGCUGUUCGCCAUUUAAAGUGGUACGCGAGCUGGGUUUAGAACGUCGUGAGACAGUUCGGUCCCUAUCUGCCGUGGGCGCUGGAGAACUGAGGGGGGCUGCUCCUAGUACGAGAGGACCGGAGUGGACGCAUCACUGGUGUUCGGGUUGUCAUGCCAAUGGCACUGCCCGGUAGCUAAAUGCGGAAGAGAUAAGUGCUGAAAGCAUCUAAGCACGAAACUUGCCCCGAGAUGAGUUCUCCCUGAC